UCUUUAGUGUGAGUUUAAUGGUUGAUUUGUUCCUUGCUUGGCUAAUUUUGAAUGUGGACGGAUUCCUCAAAGAUCUUGAAUAAGGAAAGUCUUUAAUUGGUGAAUUAACUCUUGAAUUUCUAUGCCUUGGUCGUGGGAUUACUUGAAUGAAAUGAUGGCAUUGUAUCUUUGCAUAUCUGAUUUGAAAUGAUGGAGAUGCACACGACUUCUACAGAUUUUACCUUGGAUAAUCUUUCCUUGCUAGUUGAGAAUUAAAUGGUCUUUAGUGGGAGUUUAAUGGUUGAUUUGUUCCUAGCUUGACUUAUUUUGAAUGUGGACGGAUUCCUCAAAGAUCUUGAAUAAGGAAAGUCUUUAAUUGGUGAACGAACUCUUGAUUUUCUAUGCCUUGGCCGUGGGAUUACUUGAAUGAAAUGAUGGCAUUGUAUCUUUGCAAAUCUGAUUUGAAAUGUUAGAGAUUCACAAGCCUACUUGGAUGAGCCUUGAUGACUUGUCUUUCUUGAAUGAGCCUUGUCUUGAAGGCUUUGAAUUACACGCCCAAACAUGUUUUAUUCAAAUAAGGAAGGUAUUCAUUCAUUUAAUUCUCUUCCAAUCUGAAUU
rnacentral:lncRNA from 1 species